CAUCUACUCUGCGGCCUACAAGCAUGGCGGGCGUGGGGGAGACAACCGCUCCCCCGCGACCACAUCCAACUGAGAACCUGAGACUGGGCCCGUGUUCCCCCCCUCUGGACCGGUAGGUUAUUCUGGGGGUUAUUCCGGUCCACCCCCGCACGAACCCUAAGCUAAGCAGUGAGGUCGAUAAACUGACAUGGAGCCCUAAAUCUACCUCUAGAGAGACUUCCAAAAUGGCGAAUACUUCCCGCGAUGCCAG